rnacentral:rRNA from 1 species
CAGCAGCCGCGGGAAUACGUAGGGGGCGAGCGUUGUCCGAAGUUACUGGGCGUAAAGAGCGCGUAGGCGGGUUCCUAAGUGAGGGGUGAAAGGUUCAGGGCUCAACCCGGACACUGCCUUUCAUACUGGGAACCUUGAGUGUGGGAGAGGCGAGUGGAAUGGUCGGUGUAGCGGUGAAAUGCGUAGAUAUCGAUCGGAACACCCAUGGCGAAGGCAGCUCGCUGGCCUAUAACUGACGCUGAGGCGCGAAAGCGUGGGGAGCAAACAGGAUUAGAUACCCCCGUAGUCCCUGUCUCUUAUU